AUUGAACGCUGGCGGCAUGCCUUACACAUGCAAGUCGAACGGCAGCACGGGUGCUUGCACCUGGUGGCGAGUGGCGAACGGGUGAGUAAUACAUCGGAACGUACCUUAUCGUGGGGGAUAACGCAGCGAAAGCUGUGCUAAUACCGCAUACGCCCUGAGGGGGAAAGCGGGGGAUCGCAAGACCUCGCGCGAUUAGAGCGGCCGAUGCCUGAUUAGCUAGUUGGUGGGGUAAAAGCCCACCAAGGCGACGAUCAGUAGCUGGUCUGUGAGGACGAUCAGCCACACUGGGACUGGGACACGGCCCAGACUCCUACGGGAGGCAGCAGUGGGGAAUUUUGGACAAUGGGGGCAACCCUGAUCCAGCAAUGCGGCGUGAGUGAAGAAGGCCUUCGGGUUGUAAAGCUCUUUUGUCAGGGAAGAAACACCGGCUCUAACACAGUCCGGGAAUGACGGUACCUGAAGAAUAAGCACCGGCUAACUACGUGCCAGCCGCCGCCGUAA
rnacentral:rRNA from 1 species